GAUGAAGAACGUAGCGAAAUGCGAUAAGUAAUGUGAAUUGCAGAAUUCAGUGAAUCAUCGAAUCUUUGAACGCAUCUUGCGCUCCUUGGUAUUCUGAGGAGCAUGCCUGUUUGAGUGUCAUUAAAUUCUCAACUCCACUGACUUUGAAUUGGUGUGGCUUGGAUUUGGGGGGAAAAUUGUUGUGGGCUUUUUGUAUAGUCUGCUCCCCUGAAAUUGAUUAGCGGUACCUUUGUGGAACUGUCUACAGGUGUGAUAAUUAUCUACAUCUUAGACAUCUGCUGGAAUGCUGCUUUCUAAACCUUACUUGUAUUGACAAUCUUGACCUCAAAUCAGGUAGGACUACCCGCUGAACUUAAGCAUAUCAAUAAGCGGAGGA
rnacentral:misc_RNA from 1 species